GUUACAACACACUCUGAUCCCGCCUGAAGUGAAGGGCCAACACAGUGCAGCUUUCAUUACCAUGCCUGCCAGAGGCAGAGCUUGGAGAGUCUGAGGAAAAAAAGCGAGUGCCCAUAGCCAAUAAAGGUGCCAUAUAUUGCCACAACGCUUCAUGGAAAUUGGAAUUCACAAUCAACACCUUUGCACAUUGUGCUUAGCAGGGGUACCGAGACAAAUACAACUGAUAAACUGUGUAGACGCCAAUGUCCAAUUUACCAGACCAGACCUAAAAAAAGAUGGGGCAGAUUGCAGCAGCUACUGCAUGGCUAAUGACAGUCUAACAGGCGGCAUCACAUUACCUGAAUUUUAGCAUCCCUACACUGGCUUCCAGCUAGACUUAAAAAUGAUUUUAAGAUUUUACUGAUCACAGUACUUUUAAAGCACAUAAGGGUCUGUUUACGAGCUAUCUAGCAAACGUUUAACCCCGUCUCAGCAAGCCUGCAGCCUCAGAUCCUUGGUUGAGCGUAUACCUGUAAUUGUUCUGAAGUCCAGGCCUAAAAUGAAACGUGAUCGAGCGUUCUCCAGGGUACCCCACUUUGGGACAACCUGCCAUAGAGAUAAGACAAAGAAAAAAAAUGGUAACAUUAAAAAAUUAUUUAUUUAAUUAAUUAAUUUAUUUAUUUAUUUUAACAUAUCAUAUCAUAUCAGCCCUCCUGGUCUCAAUUCCGGUUGUUGUGUUCUUGCAUUGCCCGUCUUUUUCAAUGGGCUUUAUUUGAUCCUAUGACAGCUGGCAUCUAUGCCUGUUGUGUAUUUACACUUGUUGUGUCUCUUUU